rnacentral:misc_RNA from 1 species
CGAGUGGCCAGCGUGGCCCCGU